CCCCUUUAUCCCCAAGCAUCAGCCCCCAAUUCUUCUUUCUUUUCUUUUCUUUCUUCCCCUGAUCCACAAUCAACUCGUCUCCCUUUUUCUUCACUCCUUUUCCAUUUCUCUCUUCCUUGUCUCUUCUUCUUCACACGCCCAUGAGAGAGAUCAAAAAUGAGAGAUUGCGAGAGAGUGAUUGAUGCCGAGAGAGAGAGAUCGUGAACCUGAGAGGGAGAGAGCCCGAGCUGGAGAGAAACGCCGAGAGAGAGGGAGACUUGGAGCUGAUUUCUGGUGGGUGUUUUGCCGGGGCAGUGGUGCGAUUUUCCGGUGAAAUUUUCCGAUGGACUUCUCUAUUAUUGAAUGGAAAUCAUCAAAGUUCAGUGGAUCUAAGGAAUGACGUCGUAGCAUAGUACUUGGGAUGUUAUGACUGAAGCCCGAAGCGACAGUUAUAAUGGUUGGACCAUGGGUUAUCCGCCUUUUGGUAGACUUUGUUUAUGGCUUGUGUCGCCUGUGACACUUGUAUUUAUGAGCCAAUCUUUUGGUAUGUAUUUAAUAGCUAUGUAGAAGCCUUAAAUUGAUAGGCAUAUUAAUGGCUCUUUUGUUGUGAUUAACUGUUGUUUAUAGAUAUACCUUCCGCUAUGUUGAUAAUGCUAUUAUGUAUAAUCCGCUGCGUAGAUGUAACUCUGAUUAUGUGGUACAUGUUAUGGAAUGUGUACUGUAAGUUGGUUGAGCGA